CCAUUAUGGCUGGAAAGGCCCCCUUUGUGACCAGUGCAUCCUCUUCCCUGGUUGCGUCCACGGGAGCUGCACCGAGCCGUGGAAGUGUGACUGCGAGACCAACUGGGGUGGCCUCCUGUGCGACAAAGAUCUGAACUACUGUGGGUCACACCGUCCGUGCAAAAAUGGAGGGACGUGUGCCAAUAAGGAGCCCGACGAGUACGAAUGCCUUUGCUUGGAGGGAUUCCACGGCCGGAAUUGUGAGAACGCUCUCCUCCUGCUCCCGGUCAACGAGUCAACCUGCGCUCCCGAGGUUUGUGCCAACGGUGGGACAUGUGUCCAAAGCCCAUCCGGAUCCCAGUGUCUUUGCCCCACAGGGUGGAGUGGAGAGUCCUGUCUGGAGGGGGUGACCGCUUGCCUCUCGGAGCCCUGCAGCCAUGGGGGAAGCUGCAGAGAUGUCUCAGGUGGCUUCAAGUGCCUCUGCCCACCUCAGUGGACGGGGAAGACCUGCCAGAUUGAUGUCAAUGAGUGCCAAAGGAACCCCUGCCUCCACGCCCGGGGGUGCAAAAACCUCAUCGGGAGCUAUUUCUGCGACUGCCUAGAAGGCUGGAUGGGGACC